rnacentral:rRNA from 1 species
GAUGAACGCUGGCGGCGUGCCUAAUACAUGCAAGUCGAGCGAACAGACGAGGAGCUUGCUCCUCUGACGUUAGCGGCGGACGGGUGAGUAACACGUGGAUAACCUACCUAUAAGACUGGGAUAACUUCGGGAAACCGGAGCUAAUACCGGAUAAUAUAUUGAACCGCAUGGUUCAAUAGUGAAAGACGGUUUUGCUGUCACUUAUAGAUGGAUCCGCGCCGCAUUAGCUAGUUGGUAAGGUAACGGCUUACCAAGGCGACGAUGCGUAGCCGACCUGAGAGGGUGAUAGGCCACACUGGAACUGAGACACGGACCAGACUCCUACGGGAGGCAGCAGUAGGGAAUCGUCCGCAAUGGGCGAAAGCCUGACGGAGCAACGCCGCGUGAGUGAUGAAGGUCUUCGGAUCGUAAAACUCUGUUAUUAGGGAAGAACAAAUGUGUAAGUAACUAUGCACGUCUUGACGGUACCUAAUCAGAAAGCCACGGCUAACUACGUG